rnacentral:rRNA from 1 species
UACGUAGGCAGCGAGCGUUGUUCGGAGUUACUGGGCGUAAAGGGUGUGUAGGCGGUUCUCUAAGUUUGGUGUGAAAUCUCCCGGCUCAACCGGGAGGGUGCGCCGAAAACUGGAGGGCUAGAGUGCGGGAAGGGAGAGUAGAAUUCCUGGUGUAGCGGUGAAAUGCGUAGAUAUCAGGAGGAACACCGGUGGUGUAGACGGCUUACUGGACCAUAACUGACGCUGAGACACGAAAGCGUGGGUAGCAAACAGG